rnacentral:rRNA from 1 species
CCUACGGGUGGCUGCAGUGAGGAAUAUUGGUCAAUGGUCGAGAGUCUGAACCAGCCAAGUCGCGUGAGGGAUGACUGUCCUAUGGAUUGUAAACCUCUUUUAUCAGGGAAUAAAACCAGGCACGCGUGCCUUUUUGCAUGUACCUGAUGAAAAAGCAUCGGCUAACUCCGUGCCAGCAGCCGCGGUAAUACGGAGGAUCCGAGCGUUAUCCGGAUUUAUUGGGUUUAAAGGGGGCGCAGGCGGUAGGUAAAGUCAGCGGUAAAAUUUCCGGGCUCAACCGCAAAGUGCCGUUGAUACUGGCAGUCUUGAGUGCGGGAGAAGUAGGCGGAAUGCGGGGUGUAGCGGUGAAAUGCAUAGAUAUCACGAAGAACUCCGAUUGCGAAGGCAGCAUAC